rnacentral:lncRNA from 1 species
CUUCUUCUCUGGUCUUUUCAGAUGGACAAGCAUCAUUGGAAACCCCAGAGGUUCAAGGUAUAGGGAAGGUUGCAAGGCACCAAAGGGAAGAGGAUGGAAGAAAAAGAAAGAUGAUAAGAAAACUGCAGCACUGAGACAUCCCCAUCACAGCACGUGGCUGCUCCUAGAACCUUCCAGAACCUGAGCCCUCUUUCAUCUGCAGCCUCCUGCGUAUUGGCAGGCACUGGUGUUUGUUCCUGGCACUGCUGC